GAUGAACGCUGGCGGCGUGCUUUACACAUGCAAGUCGAACGGUAACACGCCGCUAGUGGUUCACGAGUGUCGAACGGGUGAGUAAUACAUCGGAACGUUCCCAGUCGCUGUGGGAAACUACUAGAAAGAGUAGCCUAUACCUCAUACGGUCUACUGAUUAAAGCGGGGGGGUUUAAAGCCUCGCGCGAUUGUUGCUGCCGAUGCUAGAUGAGGUAGUUGUUGGGGUAAAGGCUCACCAGGCCAACGAUGUGUAGGUGAUCUGAGAGUAGAAACCGGCACACUGGGACUGAGACACGGCCCAGACUCCGACGGGAGGCAGCAGUAGGGAAGGUUGGACAAUGGGCGGAAGCCUGAUCGAGCAACGGCGCGUGCAGGAAGAAGGGCUUCGGGUGGUAAAACGCUGUUGUGAGGGAAGAACGGGUUCUGAAGGAUCGACGCAUAUCGUGACGGUACCUUAAGAAUAAGCACCGGCUAACUACGUG
rnacentral:rRNA from 1 species